CAGUGAUAUUCAACCGAGCAUACAAUAGGCGAAGAUACGUCUACUUUAAAAGCAAUUUACCUUCCUAUACACGAGCUCAGAUCCUCUACAAGGCCACAAAAUAUUUGUUUGCAUUCAUAACGAGGCGUUCGAGUUUGAAACUUCGUGUAAAUGUUUCAAAAUAAAUACAGUGAGACAUCGAUUCUUUUGUCGAGGACAUAAUUUUUCGAGAGCACAGCAUGAUUUCGAAAUAACAAUGAGUCAAUGGCAUAUGAAAUUCUUUCCCGACGACAAAAAG